rnacentral:rRNA from 1 species
CAGUCGCCGCGGUAAUACGUAGGGUGCAAGCGUUAAUCGGAAUUACUGGGCGUAAAGCGUGCGUAGGCGGUUUGUUAAGUCUGCUGUGAAAUCCCCGGGCUCAACCUGGGAAUGGCAGUGGAUACUGGCAAGCUAGAGUGUGUCAGAGGAUGGUGGAAUUCCCGGUGUAGCGGUGAAAUGCGUAGAGAUCGGGAGGAACAUCAGUGGCGAAGGCGGCCAUCUGGGACAACACUGACGCUGAGGCACGAAAGCGUGGGGAGCAAACAGGAUUAGAUACCCCGGUAGUCCCUGUCUCUUAUAC